rnacentral:piRNA from 1 species
UCUAUGAGCCUAUGGAGACCAUUCUUCC